rnacentral:rRNA from 1 species
GAAGGCAGAUCACUAAUACUAUAUUGACGCUGAUGGACGAAAGCGUAGGUAGCGAACAGGAUUAGAUACCUGGUAGUCUACGCCGUAAACGAUGGUUACUAGCUGUCCGGCCUAAUUGAGGGCUGGGUGGUUAAGCGAAAGUGAUAAGUAACCCACCUGGGGAGUACGUUCGCAAGAAUGAAACUCAAAGGAAUUGACGGGGGCCCGCACAAGCGGUGGAGCAUGUGGUUUAAUUCGAUGAUACGCGAGGAACCUUACCAGGGCUUAAAUGCAGUCUGACGUAUCUGGAAACAGAUAUUUCUUCGGACAGAUUGCAAGGUGCUGCAUGGUUGUCGUCAGCUCGUGCCGUGAGGUGUCAGGUUAAGUCCUAUAACGAGCGCAACCCCUGUGGUUAGUUGCCAGCACGUAAUGGUGGGAACUCUAGCCAGACUGCCGGUGCAAACCGUGAGGAAGGUGGGGAUGACGUCAAAUCAUCACGGCCCUUACGUCCUGGGCCACACACGUGCUACAAUGGUAGGGACAGAGAGCAGCCACUUCGCGAGAAGGAGCGAAUCUAUAAACCCUAUCACAGUUCGGAUCGUAGUCUGCAACUCGACUACGUGAAGCUGGAAUCGCUAGUAAUCGCAUAUCAGCCAUGAUGCGGUGAAUACGUUCCCGGGCCUUGUACAC